rnacentral:lncRNA from 10 species
GAAGGUCACAAAACCAGUCAGUGGUGGGUCUUGGGUUUAGAUCCAGAAGGUCUGACUCAGAGCUUCACUGUGUUGAUUCCCAAUUAUAGACACUGAGAAUGCUCUCUGAGUACUGGCUAAGAAAAGUUCUGGAGCAAUGAGGCCCACAUGGGGAAUACCAGCCUAGUCUCGGAGAGUUAGAGAACUUCCCAGAAGGGAGGAAGCCGAAGGUGAUACUGAAGAACUGGAGGUUUGAUCCUCCCCUUCUGGUGUUAAAAGAAAGACCUACCCUACCAAGGUUCAUGGCUGUGCUCUCAAAAAGACCAGCAGAAGAAAAUGAUGAAAGUAUAAGUUAAUAAGGCUCUGCUGGCCCCUCUCCUUGGCUCCCAGGAUGCAGUCUUGCAGGUUAAUGCUUCCAAUUGAGCAACUUCAAAAUGGCUGUGAAUCCGAGGAGGACAGAGAAAGAUCUGCGUCUCUCCCAGCUUCCUCGGACUGUUCCGUAGGCACCGAGACGAACCGAAUGGAACCGGAGCGAUUGCAUAGGCGUCCAGCAAGAGGCUGAUGAGGACACCAAAUAAUGGAAACAGCCGAUUUUGUUGGGAUGGUGGAAUUUCUGGGAGAUGGCUCG